rnacentral:rRNA from 1 species
CACGUAGGGCGCAAGCGUUGUCCGGAAUUAUUGGGCGUAAAGAGCUCGUAGGCGGCCUGCUGCGUCCGCUGUGAAAGCCCGGGGCUUAACCCCGGGUCUGCAGUGGAUACGGGCAGGCUAGAGGUAGGUAGGGGAGAAUGGAAUUCCCGGUGUAGCGGUGAAAUGCGCAGAUAUCGGGAGGAACACCGGUGGCGAAGGCGGUUCUCUGGGCCUUACCUGACGCUGAGGAGCGAAAGCGUGGGGAGCGAACAGG